rnacentral:lncRNA from 1 species
CUCAGUAUGUGUAACAACAUUAAUGCAUCAUCUAUAGGUGAAUAUACAGUAAAUAUAAGUGAAGUAGUGCACCCGAACUGUGACCAACAUCCCAUUGUUAUGGCCUGAAACUGACCAUCUCUAGUCUAGUUUCUGCAACCUCUUGUAGGUAAUCUUACGAGCAAGUCGAAACCAAUGAAAAAUCAUCAGUAAGUCAUUGGUUGAUUGAGAGAGAUGGAAAUUGUUGUGAAACUAACAUCUCGAGUGAUGGAGAUGGGACGCAGAAUCUUUUCUUUAUGGGUUAGGAGACAUCUGGAGUUAGAUCACAGCAUUGGGUUGAAGUCGAUCACUGCAAAAAAACUAGACUGCGGAUGGUGGCAUAUUGGACUGCAGUGGGUUGGCUAAAGACCACAGUAGGACAUGGGCGUCGCACCCAUAAGAAGUGGUGUCAUGCCACCGGACCUCACAAGCUCGUGUUCAUGGGAGCUGCAUUGCCUCUUGCAUCUAGUGCGCAAGCUUCAAAUUAACCAAGGACCUCAGCAUGGACGAAGCUAGCGGUGGGGCUAGGGGGCUCUAGCCCCCCUACCGCUGCUGAUUCAGUGGAGCUUCUAGUGUUUUUCUUCUAAUUUUAGAUACAAAUUUAUAAAGUAGGGUGGGCUG